AAACUCCCUGCUAGAGAGACUAGGAGAUUUGGGGCUGCGGCCGUUUCCUCCGGAGCACCCACGGGACUGUGUGCUGGGGUCCCUCCACCGGCUGUGUCCUUUAUUCUUCUUUCUCACCCAACGAUUUACCUGAACGGUUAUAAAGUGCACGUUAUUUCCCUAAGGUCCUUCUUACUGAUGUGUUGCUCUUCUUCAUGGCUCGUGAAAACUAUUAGAGUCAUCCAAGGUUUGGAGACAGAAAGGAGCACCGCCAAGUGAGGCAGAGCAGUCUCAGAAACAUAGGAAAAUGGUGGGAAGAGAGAUCAGCAACGUUAACUGGGUGUCAAGAAAACAUACCGAGAUUGAAGCCAUCCACUUCUGCAGGAACACCGAAAAGAAAGCUUACAAUCUGAAGGUGUCCGUUCCUACACUGGUCAGACCACUGUCCUUGGGGCAGCUGGGGUCUUUGGGACCCUCCACCGGGCUCGCCGGUCCGUCGGACUUUUGGCUGAGAUCCGUGUCAGACUCCUCCGAAUAGUCGUCUGUUGGCAUCGAGGGCUGAACCCCUGAGGUGCUGCAUGAACUUGAGGUAACCGUUGAAGAUGAGGAGAGAGGAGGAAAAGAAGGGGGCUUCGCUGCCGAAGCCCGGGAGACCACUUGCGGCCAAGACUUCCUGGAGGCGUGGGGGGAAGCGGAGGAGGGGGCGGCGGCCGACGGGGGAGGGGGGCUGUCGUUUGAGUGAGCGGCAGACUGCGAGGUAGAUGCGGUGCUAGGAUCGGGGAAGCAGGCAGAGUGAGGUAAUAAACUAGGGUGCUCUUUGGCGUUUCUUGCUGCUCUCGUGAUUGUUCUGUGUUUGUGCAAGGCCGACUCGAGAUGUUGACUCAGAGCUUCCUCCCCACAGAGCGCGCUCUCGCACGCCAGGCAGUGGUACGAGCCGCCGCCGCCGCCGCCGCCGCCACCGCCGCCGCCGCCGCCACUGCCACCGCCGCCGCCGCCGGUGGGGACGUGAAGCACCAUCUCUUGCAGGUUCACCACAGACUGGCCGAAGAAGCAGAGGGACUUCAGGUGGCUCCUCGCUGCCUCCUCGUCGCUGAAGCCCGCCUGGCACUUGCGGCAGACCAACUUGUACUGCACCUUUGGAACAAUGAAGGGGUCGUAGAGGGAGUCCGCACUUUUGCUUUCUGCUUCUGGCUCUUCAGGGAGUUUCGGCAGGAGGGGGGACACCUCACGGGGGGUGUUUUUCUGUUCUUCUGGUUUGGGGGAUUCUUUGGCAGGGUCUUUGUCUGGGGAAGGAGCCCCGGGGGGGACUGGGGUUUGGCUUGCUUUGGGCUGCUGCUGCUGCACUUUUUGCUGCUGCUGCUGCUGUAGUUGCCGCUGCUGCUGCUGCUGAAUUGCCUCCUGCAGACUCUGCUGGUAUUGCUGGUACUGCUGCAGUAGGGAGCCUGGGGACAGCCCCAUCAGGGCCUGCGACAGUGCAGGGCUGUAGGGGAACAGGCCUUCCAUGCCAUACAUAGGCUGCAGGUACCCGCUCUGCAGGGCGCCAGGGAUCUGGGGAGCAUAAUAAGGAGAAAAGCCUGGUACAAAGUAAGGAAGGAACUGGCUUGUGAGCAAUGCUGUGGGGUCCGAAGUCAACGCGGCCUGCAGGGCCUGCAGCUGUGCAGGGUCUACCGCAUACUCCAUGGUGGGCAGCGGGGCUGAGAUCGUGGCUGCAGUUGCCGUGGGGGCCUCUCCUUUCUCCUUCUUGGGGACAGGCAGGGGUUCCCCUUUCCCUUUGUGUGCCUUUUCCUUCUCCUUUACUUUCUCACUGUCUUUGUCCUUGCGUUGCUGCUGCUGUUGCAGUGGGAGCUGUGGUGUGGGUGGCGGCUGGGCUGCUGGCGGCGGGGGAGGCUGCUGCACCUGUGGUUGCUGCUGCUGCUGCUGCUGCUGGGGGGGUUGCUGAGGGCCCAUCGCCAUCGUGGCUUGUGCUGGGGUUGGGGAGCUCAGCGACGCUGAGGACGGUUUAUUUGGUAAUCCAGAAGUGGGGAGGCCAGGGGAAGGAACAGUUGUGCUGGGCAGACCCAUCAAGUUCGGCUUAGGAGACGUUAAAGCUGAAAGGAAUGGAGACAGAAAUCACCGGUCAGUCUGGGCAGGGGUAGGGCUGAAGCUCAAGACGUUUUACCGGUGUCACUGGCACACAGUUUGAGAUGUCAAGGCUUGAAGGAUCCUCUCAAAACGAACAUUUCCAACAGAAGUAUCCCACCAGGCUCAGGGCUGGACAACCUUGUAUUCUAAUGAGGACUCAGUCCUAGGUCAGCUCCCAUACUUCCCCUUUCAGCCAAACAACUUCCAGAAGUAUCCCACCAGGCUCAGAGCUGGACAACCUUGUAUUCUAAUGAGGACUCAGUCCUAGGUCAGCUCCCAUACUUCCCCUUUCAGCCAAACAACUUCCAGAAGUAUCCCACCAGGCUCAGGGCUGGACAACCUUGUAUUCUAAUGAAGAUUCAGUCCUGGCUAGCUCCCAUACUUCCCCUUCCAGCCAAACAACUUCCAACACCUUCCUGCCCAAUGUGCCACACCCGCUAGUUCACAUUUUCUUUGCCAAGUACUCCCAGCUACCAUUCACUCUGCCCAACUGCAAUUAGUCUAGAGGCCCCAAAGCUAGCUGUUUCUAGCUGGGGCCCAUUUGCACCAAAGGCCUUCAUCACAAAAAUAGUAUGGCCACGAGGUCCCCAGAGAAGUUAUCUGGAGGAGAGCGGCAACAGGAGAAGAGAGAACGAAGGCAAGAAAGCUAGCACGGCCACAUGAACAAAAACAAAACAGGCUCUACAGGUGUUCCUCCUCUCUGACCUCUGUUGCUGCAGCUGACUGGAUGCUUUCGGAGGGUAGAGAGAAGAUGAUGAAUAGGAAAGUGUGGAGGAAGGGCCUGGGAAGAAAUAAGAACAAUCCAUUCAGGGAAAAUUGCUUCCAUGCCUUGGCCCAGCUGACCUGCUUCAACAAGUCUACUCAACAGUAUAACCGCCUAGGAAUAGGAAUCUGGAAUCUGCGGGAGAAACGACCAUCUUCUUUUCCUGCCCCUGUUUGAAUGAUACACAGGAGGGCCAGUGGGACUGUAGAUGGUUGAGAAACAACCGCAGGAAAAGCAGAAAAGCCAUGUCAGAAGUGGAAUAGCCCAAGAUACUGACACCAAUUCCCAAGACAUCACAACCUACCCGAAGCACCACUGCCUAUGGAUAGCAAAGGUCUGACCAUAUCACCAGGCCCUCAUGGGCUAGAAUCCCAUCCUUGAUCAUACCCCUAAUCUACCACCACUCCCUGCAACGCCUUCACCAACCCGAGAGCCUAAUACCCUCCCUGACCCAUAGCUAUCUCCUGGUUUGAGUCACCAGGUCCAAGGUAAUGCAAGAGGGUGUUGCUACGGAUGGUACUCCAAGCUUCAGGUGUGUUGAGACUAGCAAGAUAGUAGGUAAGGACAGCAUGGGGGUGGGGUGCAGUGUGUGCUGGACGAUGAAAAGCUGAGAAAACAAAGAGGAGGAUCCCACAGGCAACAGCUCUCAGAACACCUCUAUAUUCACCAUAUCCAAGAAACUUGAUGGUAUAUACAUCUCUUCAGAGGACACCAAAAUGCAAAAUCAAAAUCUUACUUCAUCUGGACCUCACCUGCUGGAAAGCUGGGGAAGGAGUUCCAUAACAUGACACUGAGGAAAAAAAAGCAAGAAAAAGCACUCUGAAGCCCAGACUUGGGGGAAGACUGCAGAUUUCUGGCUAUCAUGGUAGUGUUCACCAUCAAAACCCUCAGAUUUCAGACGAAAAGAACAAGACUGCUUCAAAUUGCCAAUCCCAGACAAACAGCUGUUAAUACUGGAUAGCCAAGGAGAAAGGUUCCUUCAGCAUCUCAUCAUGCAGUGUCCUCAGUGCACAUAAGACACCAGAGAAGAUAUGUGUGACUCUACUCAGAAAAGCUUAGUAAAGACUUGUUGGUUAAAUUGGCACAAACAAGACAGAGUAGAUUAUGAGUUCUAAACUUGGGACAUGGCUCUGUCUCCACUAGGCAAUGGGUCUGCUCUCAGUGGGGCAAGGAAGGAAUAUUUAGAGAUUUCCCCAUCCCCAUGGCUCCAGACUUCUAGGAGAAAGAUUCAGGUCAAAAAGCCUUAAACUGUGUGUCUUCAACUGAUGGUCUAUAUAAGAGGUUCAAAUUUUAAGAAACGUUUACGAAUCUCUACUAUUUACCAAGCCUUGCACUAGCCAUGCUAGACACAGUAGCUCAACACACUCACAACUCUGUGACAUCCUUUUUCUGAUCUGUAAGAUCAGAAUCAGGCAAGGUACUUCAUCCCCCCUAGACUUACUCCUACAAAUCUGGAGUCACACUGACCCUGUGGGAUUAUGGUCACACACAUCAGACGUGUGACCCUGGGACUUUCGGUUGAACUCUUGGAACCUCAGCUUUCCAUAACAGAUGGUUAUGAGGAUUAAAUGAAAGACCACAUUGAUAGAAAAAGCUUAGCAUUGGGCCUGACAUAUAAUAGAUGUUUAAUAAACACAAGUUUGUUCCUUCCCUCCCAUUCCAGAUCCGGUGUUUUUGAGAACUGUGUUACGGUCAGGUGAUGAUAACUGGGGCAUGUCUGCUGCCCUGAAUAAAUAAGAGCUUAUCUUUCUAUCUCGAGUCCACUCUAAGUGGUCAGAACUUGAGUAGCACUAAACAUAUACCUGUUGACUGACUGGCUCAUAUUGGGUGUUGUGGAAGGAGCACAUAGCACCUGGGAGCCCAGAGGCCUGGGUGGAAGCUCUGGCUCCUACCCUAGCUUGUUGAAUGGUCUUGACCUCUCUGGCCCUCAGAUUUCUCAUCUGUAAAACAAGCGGAAUAAAUCAUACAUUCUGAUUCUA
ensembl:lncRNA ZFHX3-AS1 ZFHX3 antisense RNA 1